AAGUCGGACGGCAAGGGUUGUGCUUGCACAACUCCUAGAGUGGCGGACUGGUGAGUAACGCGUGGGUGACCCUGCCCUCGAGAUGGGGAUAGCCAUUAGAAAUAGUGGAUAAUACCGAAUACGCUCAUGACCCUGUGGGGAUAUGAGGAAAACAGGCUACGGCCUGGCUCGAGGAUGGGCCCGCGUCCCAUUAGCUAGUUGGUGAGGUAACGGCCCACCAAGGCGACGAUGGGUAUCCGGCCUGAGAGGGUGUACGGACACAUUGGGACUGAGAUACGGCCCAAACUCCUACGGGAGGCAGCAGCUAAGAAUAUUCCGCAAUGGACGAAAGUCUGACGGAGCGACGCCGCGUGGAUGAAGAAAAGGCCGGAAGGUUGUAAAAUCCUUUUGCUGAUGGAGAAUAAGUGUGGUAGGGAAUGACCGCAUGAUGACAUUAGUCGGUGAAUAAGCCCCGGCUAACUACGUGCCAGCAGCAGC
rnacentral:rRNA from 1 species